UACGACCUCAGGUCAGACGUGUCAACCC
rnacentral:rRNA from 1 species